AACGAACGCUGGCGGCAUGCCUAACACAUGCAAGUCGAACGAGACCUUCGGGUCUAGUGGCGCACGGGUGCGUAACGCGUGGGAACCUGCCCUUAGGUUCGGAGUAACUCCCCGAAAGGGGUGCUAAUACCGGAUAAUGUCUUCGGACCAAAGAUUUAUCGCCUUUGGAUGGGCCCGCGUUGGAUUAGCUAGUUGGUAGGGUAAAAGCCUACCAAGGCGACGAUCCAUAGCUGGUCUGAGAGGAUGAUCAGCCACACUGGGACUGAGACACGGCCCAGACUCCUACGGGAGGCAGCAGUGGGGAAUAUUGGACAAUGGACGAAAGCCUGAUCCAGCAAUGCCGCGUGAGUGAUGAAGGCCUUAGGGUUGUAAAGCUCUUUUACCCGGGAUGAUAAUGACAGUACCGGGAGAAUAAGCGCCGGCUAACUCCGUG
rnacentral:rRNA from 1 species